AUCUUCUUCCUACUACCAAAUAUAAUUGGAGGAGAGGCAAUAAGCAGGACCUUCUCUGCAGUUGCCCAAGUCUUAUGGAACAUUCAUACAAGAGAAGCCCACGAGUGCCCAACAAUUUAUGGAGAUCCCAGACAGUGUGGUAAUGGCAUUUUGAGAGACUUCAGGAGGACAACCAUUUUCCUAUACAAAUAAUUAAUUCUGAGAUACUAAAGGGAUAAAACCUGCAUAUCUGAAGUUCUUAGAGGACCAGAAGUGACUGAGGAGGUCACUUCCAGCUGCCAUUUUGUCUACAGGAGCCAUUUUGUGUAUCAUUUCUUUCUUUUAUAUAUCUAUAUCUAUAUCUAUAUCUAUAUCUAUAUCUAUAUCUAUAU